ACACCACAUUUCAUUAUAUUUUUAAAGAACAAGAUAUUUCUCUCUAUUAUCCUUUUCCCUUUACACAAAGUGUUUCUUUUUCCUUUCUGUAUUGGUAUGGAAUACAUGAUGUAAGAUUACAAUCUAGAAUUGAAAGAAUUGUACUUAGGGAGCUCUUCUAUACUUAUUUCUUUAAUUUCCUUAUGUCCCUUUUUUAUCACCGAAUCAACUUCUACUUUAGAAUAAACUUUAACCACUGUGCAAGAUAAAAAACAGUAAAA
rnacentral:lncRNA from 1 species